CUUUAAUUGUAUUCUUAUAUUAAGUUUCUAACCUCUUCCUGUAUGUUGUCAGCAUUGUUGUAACAGCUAGAGUUACUGCAUGAAAAAGAUGUUCAUGCCCAUUUCUUCUAUAAUUAGUGCAUGACAAGCAUUCAGUUCAUGAGGAGGAAGGCACAAGGGUGCAUCCAAUGCAGUUGCCAUUUUGAAAGCGGUAACAGCAGACUUUAGCUUUGUACAGCAUUAUCCCGGUCAAACACUAGAUAUUGAUGUACUGUAAUUGGCAAAAAAAAUUUGGUUAAGUAGUUAAAUUAUAACCAUAUGCAUAGAAUAGGCCCUCUUUUGGCUUUAGUAAACAUGUUCUGAAGCUGCUUAAGUAUUGAUGUCCAACAUUGUCAAAAAAUGGUUAAUGGCCUUUGAAGCUAACAAAACUUUAUUUAAACAAAAAUGUAUUAGGUUCUAAUAUGGCGGAUGCCAUAAAAGACAUUGUUGACAUUCAGGUCAAAUGAUUGGCCCUGGACCAUAUAUUAUUAUCUAACUUCUUUCACUAUACUUGUUGUGAUUUAAAGGAGCACUAUAGUGCCAGGAAAAAAACUUAUUAGGUCCCCCCCUCCUGCUGGGUUGAAGUGAUUUAAACCUCUUCAGCCACUUACCUUAAUCCAGUGCCAUGCUCCCUCGGCGCUGGUGACCUUUCCUCCCCCUGCCGACUUCCGCUCUGAAUGCGCGGCCAGAGCUGUGCGUGCAUUUAGACCGCCCAUAGGAAAGCAUUACUCAAUCCUUUCCUAUGGACGUCAGCGUGUCUUCAAUGCGAUUUUCGCAUUGAGGAUCGCAGAAGCAGCCUCUAGUGGCUGUCAGGGAGACAGCCACUAGAGGCUGGAUUAACCCUCAAUGUAAACAUAGCCUAAAGUGGUCCUUUAAUUUAUAUCAGUACAUACCAAUAUAUGUAUAUAAUCAAAAUGUUUACAGUAUCAUGCUGAACAUAGCUUUUAGUAAUGUUAUCUUUGAAAAUAUAAAUAGUAUUUUAUGACUUCUAUAUUAAAAUAUUACAGGGUGUUAUUGUAAUCUAAGCAACUCCAUCAUCCAAAUGAAUUUCCUGUAAAUAAUACAUUUUUCAUUUUAUCAAAUUUAGAUUACAGUAAAAAAAUAUUAGCCAUAAUUUGACAUUGAGGGUUUCUCAUUUUUUGAGUAUUGUACAUAAGAAAACUAUUUUCAUAGCCAACUUGUCAUGAAUGAGCCUGGGGAUUGCAAGCAAGAGAGUCACUUUUCUCAACAGUAGGCCAAACAGAAAAUGCACGUUCAUAUAUCAAUGCCUUGCUCACAG